rnacentral:rRNA from 1 species
UGCCAGCCGCCGCGGUAAUACGUAGGGUGCAAGCGUUGUUCGGAAUUAUUGGGCUUAAAGCGCGCGUGGGCGGAAUAUCAGGUGUCGUGUGAAAUCCCCGGGCUCAACCCGGGAAUUGCGCGGCAAACCGGUAUUCUUGAGGCAGGUAGAGGUGACUGGAACGACUGGUGGAGCGGUGAAAUGCGUAGAUAUCAGUUGGAACGCCGGAGGCGAAAGCGAGUCACUGGACCUGUCCUGACGCUGAGGCGAGAAAGCGUGGGGAGCGAACAGGAUUAGAUA